GGAGGAAGAGGUUGGAGGAAGGGAGGAAACUGAGAGAAGAAGCCCCCACCAGAAAGAUCAGUAAGUCAGACACCAUUAUUUCACCUUAAAUCCUCCCUCCUUAAAUGGAGAGACAGGUGUCCCUCACCUGUCUCUCCAGGUGUGGCAGGUGAAGGACAGGUCAAGUACAAGUGGAGGGCAAGUGGAGAACAGGUGAGACAUGUGAAGGGCCGGUGACUGACAGGUCGAGAAUCAAUAGCUGACAUCAGCAACAUCGUCGACAACCUGCUGGCCGAGAUCAGGAAGGGCUGCAGGCUGAGGAAGACAAGGCCACGGGCAGAGCCGGACGGUGGGGUCGAAGGUCACCCCGGGGUCACGCAGAUGUCACCGGCCCAAGAUAAGCCAGAUUUGCCCGAGAAGCCUCGGGAGGAGGUCCGGACUCCCACACAUCCACCUGCUGGAACCAGACCAGAACCAGAGCCAGACAGAGCUGCCUCAGAGCUCCAGGCCCUCGGUGAACCCCCUGCAGCUGAGGUCCAGGGUCCGGAGUCUGAAGUGGACACCAGACCGGCGCAGCAGGAAGUCCAGCACACAGCUGGUCAGCAGGAUGUGACCCAGGUCAACAGGAGCAAAGAUCCUAACCCGGAAGAUUCUGCUCCCCAGAACGCAUCAAACACCUUAGACACCAGCCCAGCAGAAGGCAGUGGUCACACAGGAAGAAAGCGUUUGAAGAAAAAGAAAAAAUGCAUCCUUCAGUGAGGUACAUGGGACAGGACUGGACCUGCAGGAGAACAAAGUGUUUAAAAGGGAAACACAAUCAUAAAGAACGAGGAAGCAGCAAGGAUUCUGGGCGGAGCUUCCUGUGACUGACUGAUCUAACCCUCGCUCACCUCUCAGUGGCGCCGAAGUAACUGCGUCCAUUUGUGAUGUCAGCAAGGUUUCUGUGUGCACUUCCUGUCAGGUCGAGGCGCUGCACUGUCUCUGAGCUC